rfam:Tetrasphaera elongata Lp2 genomic scaffold, 2093_scaffold1
CGCGUAUUUCGCCAAGGCGGAGUUCGACCGCAGAAUCAAGUGAUCGUGGCCUACAUCGACUCCCACCGGGAGCGGUUCGGCGUCGAACCGAUCUGCGCGGUGCUCUCCGAGCACGGUGUCCCGAUCGCGCCG